GACGAACGCUGGCGGCGUGCUUAACACAUGCAAGUCGAGCGGAAAGGCCCUUCGGGGUACACGAGCGGCGAACGGGUGAGUAACACGUGAGUAAUCUGCCCAUCACUUCGGGAUAACUCCGGGAAACCGGUGCUAAUACCGAAAAUGACCACUACAUGCAUCUGAUGGUGGUGGAAUGUUCCGGCGGGGAUGGAUGGGCUCGCGGCCUAUCAGCUUGUCGGUGUGGUAGUGGCCUACCAAGGCCUGGACGGGUAGCCGGCCUGAGAGGGUGACCGGCCACACGGGGACUGAGACACGGACCAGAAUCCUACGGGAGGCAGCAGUGGGGAAUAUUGCACAAUGGGCGAAAGCGUGAUCCAGCAACGCCGCGUGAGGGAUGACGGCUUUCGGGUUGUAAACCUCUUUCAGCAGGGACGAAGCGCAAGUGACGGUACCUGCAGAAGAAGCCCCGGCUAACUACGUG
rnacentral:rRNA from 1 species